rnacentral:rRNA from 1 species
CAAUAGCGUAUAUUUAAGUUGCUGCAGUUAAAAAGCUCGUAGUUGGAUUUCGGGUGGGAAUGGCCGGUCCGCCGUUUCGGUGUGCACUUGCUACGCCCACCUUGCUGCCGGGGACGUGCUCUUGAGUUCACGCUCGGGACACGGAGUCGGCGAGGUUACUUUGAGUAAAUUAGAGUGUUCUAAGCAGGCCUACGCUCUGAAUACAUUAGCAUGGAAUAACACGAUAGGACUCUGGCCUAUCUUGUUGGUCUGUAGGACCGGAGUAAUGAUUAAGAGGGACAGUCGGGGGCAUUCGUAUUUCAUUGUCAGAGGUGAAAUUCUUGGAUUUAUGAAAGACGAACUACUGCGAAAGCAUUUGCCAAGGAUGUUUUCAUUAA